rnacentral:rRNA from 1 species
ACAGUGGAGAGUUUGAUCCUGGCUCAGGAUGAACGCUAGCUACAGGCUUAACACAUGCAAGUCGAGGGGCAGCAUACUGAUAGCUUGCUAUCAGUGAUGGCGACCGGCGCACGGGUGAGUAACGCGUAUCCAACCUUCCCCGUAGUAGGGCACAGCCCGGCGAAAGUCGGAUUAAUUCCCUAUGUUCUCCAAUGCAGACAUCUAAGUUGGAGCAAAGAUUCAUCGCUAUGGGAUGGGGAUGCGUCUGAUUAGGUUGUCGGCGGGGUAACGGCCCACCGAGCCUGCGAUCAGUAGGGGUUCUGAGAGGAAGGUCCCCCACAUUGGAACUGAGACACGGUCCAAACUCCUACGGGAGGCAGCAGUGAGGAAUAUUGGUCAAUGGAGGCAACUCUGAACCAGCCAAGUAGCGUGCAGGAUGACGGCCCUAUGGGUUGUAAACUGCUUUUAUAAGGGAAUAAAGGGCGCCACGUGUGGUGUUUUGCAUGUACCUUAUGAAUAAGGACCGGCUAAUUCCGUGCCAGCAGCCGCGGUAAUACGGAAGGUCCGGGCGUUAUCCGGAUUUAUUGGGUUUAAAGGGAGCGCAGGCGGGCUUUUAAGCGUGACGUGAAAUGCGGCGGCUCAACCGUCCGAAGUGCGUCGCGAACUGGGAGCCUUGAGUGAGUCCGACGUCGGCGGAAUUCGUGGUGUAGCGGUGAAAUGCUUAGAUAUCACGAAGAACCCCGAUUGCGAAGGCAGCCUGCCAGGUUGUAACUGACGCUAAUGCUCGAAGGUGCGGGUAUCGAACAGGAUUAGAUACCCUGGUAGUCCGCACGGUAAACGAUGGAUGCUCGCUGUUU